rnacentral:rRNA from 1 species
ACCCUACGGGUGGCUGCAGUCGAGGAUCUUCGGCAAUGGGCGAAAGCCUGACCGAGCGACGCCGCGUGGAUGAUGAAGGCCUUCGGGUUGUAAAAUCCUGUCGAGGGGGAUCAAGCGCAAGUUGAGUGAUCCCUGGAGGAAGCACGGGCUAAGUUCGUGCCAGCAGCCGCGGUAAGACGAACCGUGCAAACGUUAUUCGGAAUCACUGGGCAUAAAGGGCGCGUAGGCGGCUCCAAAAGUCAGGGGUGAAAUCCGGCAGCUUAACUGUCGCAGUGCCUUUGAUACGGUGGAGCUAGAGGGAGGUAGGGGUCGGUGGAACUUCCGGUGGAGCGGUGAAAUGCGUUGAUAUCGGAAGGAACGCCGGUGGCGAAAGCGACGGACUGGAUCUCUUCUGACGCUGAGGCGCGAAAGCCAGGGGAGCAAACGGGAUUAGAUACCCCAGUAGUCA